rnacentral:rRNA from 1 species
AGCAGCCGCGGUAAUUCCAGCUCCAAUAGCGUAUAUUAAAGUUGUUGCAGUUAAAAAGCUCGUAGUUGAAUUUCGGGAUCAAAUUGUCGGUCGUGCCUCGGUACGAACUGGUAUUAUUGGUUCCUACCUUCUGAAGAACCGCGAUGUCAUUAAUUUGGUGUCGUGGGGAAUCAGGACUGUUACUUUGAAAAAAUUAGAGUGUUUAAAGCAGGCUUACGCUUGAAUACAUUAGCAUGGAAUAAUGAAAUAGGACGUUUGAUUCUAUUUUGUUGGUUUCUAGGAUUGACGUAAUGAUUAAUAGGGAUAGUUGGGGGCAUUAGUAUUCAAUUGUCAGAGGUGAAAUUCUUGGAUUUAUUGAAGACUAACUACUGCGAAAGCAUUUGCCAAGGAUGUUUUCAUUAAUCAAGAACGAAAGUUAGGGGAUCGAAGACGAUCAGAUACCGUCGUAGUCUUAACCAUAAACUAUGCCGACUAGGGAUCGGACGAUGUUAAUU